GGGUCAGUAGGUUGGUCUUGCCACCGGUACGUACUGGUCUCACUGAUUCCUCCUUCCUGAAGAACCGUAAUGCCAUUAAUUUGGUGUUGCGGGGAAACAGGACUGUUACUUUGAAAAAAUUAGAGUGUUUAUAGCAAGCUAACGCUUGAAUACAUUAGCAUGGAAUAAUGAAAUAGGACGAUCGAUCCUAUUUUUUUGGUUUCUAGGAUUGACGUA
rnacentral:rRNA from 1 species